GACAGAGGUGCCAAGCGUUAGGCGGAAUCACUGGGCUUAAAGCGUGUGUAGGCGGACUUUUAAGUGCCUUGUGAAAUCCCACGGCUCAACCGUGGAAUGGCUGGGCAUACUGGGAGUCUUGAGCCACCUAGGGGUCGCUGGAACAAACGGUGGAGCGGUGAAAUGCGUAGAGAUCGGAAAGAACACCAACGGCGAAAGCACUCUGCUGGGCCGACACUGACACUGAGAGACGAAAGCUAGGGGAGCGAAUGGG
rnacentral:rRNA from 1 species